UACAGAGGUCUCAAGCGUUGUUCGGAUUCAUUGGGCGUAAAGGGUGCGUAGGCGGCGCGGUAAGUCGGGUGUGAAAUCUCGGAGCUUAACUCCGAAACUGCAUUCGAUACUGCGGUGCUUGAGGACUGGAGAGGAGACUGGAAUUCACGGUGUAGCAGUGAAAUGCGUAGAUAUCGUGAGGAAGACCAGUGGCGAAGGCGGGUCUCUGGACAGUUCCUGACGCUGAGGCGCGAAGGCCAGGGGAGCAAACGGG
rnacentral:rRNA from 1 species